AUUGGACGCUGGCGGCAUGCUUAACACAUGCAAGUCGAACGGUAACAGGCCCUUCGGGGUGCUGACGAGUGGCGGACGGGUGAGUAAUGCUUAGGAAUCUGCCUAGUAGUGGGGGAUAACCCGGGGAAACUCGGGCUAAUACCGCAUACGCCUACGGGGAAGGCGGGGACGUUCGGCCGUCGCGCUAUUAGAUGAGCCUAA
rnacentral:rRNA from 1 species